GCCUAACACAUGCAAGUCGAACGGAUCCUUCGGGAUUAGUGGCAGACGGGUGAGUAACGCGUGGGAAGCUACCUUGUGGUAGGGAACAACAGUUGGAAACGACUGCUAAUACCCUAUGAGCCCUAUGGGGGAAAGAUUUAUCGCCAUGAGAUGUGCCCGCGUUAGAUUAGCUAGUUGGUAAGGUAAUGGCUUACCAAGGCGACGAUCUAUAGCUGGUCUGAGAGGAUGAUCAGCCACACUGGGACUGAGACACGGCCCAGACUCCUACGGGAGGCAGCAGUGGGGAAUAUUGGACAAUGGGGGCAACCCUGAUCCAGCCAUGCCGCGUGAGUGAUGACGGCCUUAGGGUUGUAAAGCUCUUUCAGCAGUGAAGAUAAUGACAUUAACUGCAGAAGAAGCCCCGGCUAACU
rnacentral:rRNA from 1 species